ACACAUUAAAAUAACAAAAGCAAGAACUUAGAAUAUUCCAAAUAAAAAUCAAAUCAUAUUUUUUAUCAGUUUCGUGCAAAACGUUACAAUAUAGCAAGCUAUCACGCCAUUUUCAUCUGACCUCUAAUUCUUCUUAGCCAUACAGCACGCUAACGUAAUGUAGCCGGUCCUAGAUUUAGAUCUCUGUAGCCAAUUGGAAAAAGUCGGGUUGCAGCUACCUGUGUGAAAAUGGAGAAGAAACGAUCUUGGACCUGUACUUUGAUUGUGCAGGUUUCUCUCUGUAUUGCCUUUUACCUCUCUCUGAACUUGGGUCAGCAUCAGAAUUCCAUUUAUCAUACCAGAGAUGGCACUGCCAAUACCAGACCUCUUGAUGUUUAUUUUCUGAGUGUUGGAGGAGGCUUUAGACCCCUGAACCAACAGAUCCAUCUUCUUAAACUGAUGGAGAAUGUGGCAAAAGCUUACAAAGCAAAAUUUGUGGUGAACAUUAGUGAGCUGGGGGAAGAUGAUCCUCUAACACAGAAUGCAAGCAGACUCUUCUCGUCAAUGAACAUUCCCUGGUAUACUACUAGAGCUUCAAAGGGUUGGAAAGUUGGUUGUUUCAUGGAACAGAUCAACUUAACACAUGGGAAAAUGUUAACCAUUGCUGGUGUGGAUACUGAGUCAUUACAGGAUUCAAUGCUCGAGGGAUCAAUGAAUAGCUUUGGAAACAACCAGUUAAAUUGGCUGACACAAACACUAGAGGCCAAUCCUAAUAGCUGGUUAAUAGUUGUUGGAUACCACCCUAUGGUUGUUUGUGAAGACAAUGAAGAGCAAACUGAAGAAAAAAAAGUUUACGAGCCUCUGCAUCGUAUUUUCAUGACAUAUGGAGUGAAUGCAUACCUAAGCAGACAGGGUUGCAUUAAUCAUGACUUUGAAGAUGAUGUAGAUUACAUAGGCAUUACAAAUCCUAUUAAGAGUGAAUUUUACAUGGAUUCUUUAAAUGGAAGUUCGGUUUUUCAGAAGGAAAUGAAUAAUGGGUUUCUUCUUCAUAGAGUUAGCUCUCUAGAGAUUCUCUUUCAAUUCAACUCUUGCAAAUUCAAGCUGAUAAUGUUUCAUACCUGAGGCACGCCAUGAGCCUUUUAGCAGUGUUUGAAUUAUGCACUGAUUUAAAUUUUAACACCAGAAGAUGCAGAUAUAAAUAAGAGUCACGAAACAGGGCGUGGUAGAUGAAUUACUACGCCGGUAUAAUGACUAAAACACCCUUCCUGAGAGGGACCCAUCUCACAAAUCACACCAACACGAAAGGGCAAAGAUGGAAGAAGGGCAGAGAGGAGCGAUAAAAACACAUAGGAAAACACGCGCAGGGUUUCGACGCUCUCUGGAACAAGAAUGAGGCUCAUCUGUAGCGGACGGGAUGAUUAAGACGUAGUCGUCCCACCGUCGGAGCCAAUGAUUUCAGGGCGUUCUAUUUACCCGCCCAACAUUUAUCUGCUUCUUUCUUUUCUUUUCUUUUCCUUUUCCUCUGUCUCUCUCUCUCUCUCUCUCUCUCUCUCUCUCUCUCUCUAUAUAUAUAUAUAUAUAUAUAUAUAUAUAUAUAUAUAUAUAUACAUGCACACAGACAGACAUACAUACAUCUGAGGCUGUGAUGAUGCGUUCUUUUCCAGGAGUGUCCGAUCGGGCAAAUAGUGAAGGUCGCCGUCUUAUGGCAGGGUGACUCGGAUGGCUAACGAAAAGAUACUUUUCGCUGGCAACCGGUGGUUGCAGCCAUGGCGGUACUGUUAGCCCUUUCCCUUGCCUGAUCAAAUGCAGAUCAGAUCUGAGCCUCCGUCUUUUGUGUUCUCUAUAAUUUUAGGUUUUCGUUUUUGUCGAUCAGUUGCUUUUUUUUUUUGGAAGUGAUCAGUUGCUUUUUUGUUAUGACUUGUUUGGGUGAUAAUGCUUUUCAUUUUUCUUUUAAAUGAAAGAAGAUAUAAAUGUUGUAAAUGUGUCA